rnacentral:rRNA from 1 species
CGGGCGGGGCGGGUGGAAGUAAGUGUCGGUAAGGAAGUCGUCCGAUGGAGGGGGGUAACUACUGGAAACGGUAGCUAAUACCGCAUAACGUCGCAAGACCAAAGAGGGGACCUUCGGGCCUCUUGCCAUCGGAUGUGCCCAGAUGGGAUUAGCUAGUAGGUGGGGUAACGGCUCACCUAGGCGACGAUCCCUAGCUGGUCUGAGAGGAUGACCAGCCACACUGGAACUGAGACACGGUCCAG